AUGAACAGCCCGGGGGAAACGGGGCUCCGGGGCGACGGAGGACGCCGGGCCCUAACGGGGCUGCCCCGGCCCAGGCCCCUCCCCGGACCCCGAUCAGAGCCCGGCCCAACCGUCGCUCCCCGCGUCCCCUCCCUAGGGCGCACGUGCCACUGGAAUCCCGUCCGCGCCGAGAAGAGAGGACACAGCGCGCAGACACACCCGGGUGCUUCCUCGGCACUGUCCCGGCUUUCGCUUCCGGUCUCGGAUGCCUGCUCUGCCCUGAGAAGGAAUUUAUCUGGUGUUUAUGCCAUCCUUAAGAAGAGAAAAAUGCUACUGGGAAAUAUUAUUAGGAUUCAGUGUAGCACUGGAGAUCCCAGUCAUUAAAAAAUGAGAAUGGAAAGAAUAAGAGGUAAAUAAUAUUAGUAAGGAGAGAAAAUCUAUUAUUUUAGUGUGAAAUAACAUAUAAGGUUGAGCUAGUCAAUAAGCUGAGUAAUGGGAAAGGAUACUAGAGAGUUAUAUGAAAAAAAAACCUUUAUAUGAGCAAGAACUAGAUUAAACAUGUAAAUAAUUAUUCUACUCGUGGGAGCAAUGAAUUGUUUAAAAGAAUCAAGAAAAAAUAAUUGGAGCUAUGCCAGAGUUAUAUGAAUAAGAUUAUGAAGAUAUACCAAAAACAUAAAGCUCUGAUUAAAUGGAGAAAUAUACUACAUUUACAAAUGAAAAGAAUGAGUAUUUCAAAGAUACCAGUUUUCCAAACAUUAUUCAGAUUCAAUGUAUUUAAAAUAAAAAUUUAAAAUGAUAGAGUAAUUGUUUUUAG
rnacentral:lncRNA from 1 species